rnacentral:lncRNA from 1 species
GGGAAAGGGAGGAUGGAGGCAGGAUGGGGCAUUGAGCGAUGGGGGAGCCGGGAAGGGAGGUGGCGAGGCUGAGGGCAGGCGGGGGUGGCUGCGGGAGGCAGAUGGAGGGAGGCCCCAGGAGCGGGGCACGGAGGAUGGAGGACAAUACGGUGAACGGUCACAGGAGUAAAUACUGAGAGAAGGGGGCUGCGUGUUCCAAGCAGCACACGGCCAAAAGUGCAAACAACUUGGCUUUGAGCUCGCCGAUACGAGGAGCAGCGACGAUGGCAACUGCCCCUGCAGCCCCAAGCCGCGCUUUUUCCCUUCUCACACUUUCUCUCCCUAAAUAAACAGUGGCACAUCGCUCCCUCCGCCUCCCUCCCAGCUCUCCCCGCUCGCUCGGUCCUUCCCUCCCCCCCUCUUUUCCCAGCCUUUGAGGGACGGAGGGCGGACAAUGCUGGUAUUGAGCUGCCCGCAGUGUGAAUGCUCAGCCUGUCCUCCCCGCGUGCCAGCAGCCGCAGCUGAGCCCCGAGCCCUGCAGCAGCGCUGCCCGCCGGGAAGGCUCCCGGAGCACACAACGGCCCUGCACGGGAGCGAGAGAAAAAAAAAACAACGAUGAAAUUAACGGGAAAGGAAUAGGCCGUGUGUCUUACUGCUGUCGCCGGCUCGCUGCUUCCCCAUCCCGCUCCCCUCUGUGCGAGGGAGGGAGGGAUGGAGAACGGCUCCUAGGAAUGCUCGGCCAGCAUAACCCUUCUGCGGCCGCAACGGAGGGCAGAGAGGUAGUUUGAGGGCUCCUGGGGACACGUCAGACCCAAACUAGGGAGAUGUAAGCACUGACCCCCUGGAUGCUCAGGAUCAGAGCAGAUGGCCAGGCAGCCCUGCAUCCUGUCGCUGAGCCAAGCAGCAGCUCAACGAGCGUGCAGUGACUGCCCCUGAGCACUUCCCCAGUUCCCAAUGAUCUGUGGCUACGGCAUGUCCCAAGCCAGUGGCAAUGUCUUUGUAGUUCAUGGCCCUCUAUUGAUUUUCUUCUUCCAGGAAUGCAACCAGUCCUCUCUGAACCCCUAGGAACCAACCCCUGCAGUCUUGGUAUGGAAAGGCCGAGCUGUCUGUGGGUGCUGAAACAAUCUCUGUGUGUGUUAAAAGCCCACAAAUUAAGGGCUAAGGUCAUGACACCACUCCUCCAGUGUCAUGCAAGCAGUAGCAAAAGAGACGGCUGCUUUGUGUUCAAGCCAAGGGAGUGAGCAGAUGCAGAUAGUUCCCUACAGGAGACUUGGUAUGGGUGGCAACAGAGAAGGGGAGCAAUGAGAAAGAGCUUGGCAGUUCAUCCACACGCUGGGUGUUUCUGAGCUGCCGAAGAGACAGAACUGAAGAAGCCCGUGCUGCUGAGCCACUCGGAGCCACUGCCCUAUGCACAAGGGAUAGAGAUGCCAUCACCCUGGUGGCAUCCCACUCAUGGUACAAUGGGCUUCAGGAAGAUGCCUCUGGGCUCUUGUGACAGUUUGAGUACAAGCCCCAGUCCCAUAUGAAGUUCGAUAGAAAUGCACUCGUCUUUGCGAAUCAAAACUUUGCAUGGACCUGUUUUACAAGGGUCUCCCACAUAUGUUCCAUCUACAUUUAGUAAGAACUAUUGUAUGUAAAUUAAAUGCCAGCGGAGUAAGGAAAACAUAUUUGUCGAAGAUUAACUAUUAUGUAAUGCAAGAAGCAUCUGCCACCCAACUGCUAGAGCUCACUAAAUAUUUCCUUAUCUCGGAGUAUUUACUUAGGAGGCAAUAACUAUCCAGUUAAAUCUAAAUUUAAUGCUUAGUUAAAUAUACUUCAUGGAAAGUGACACCAAUAUGUUUUAUACAGACAGUGACAGAGGAGGGUUCAGAGAGGGAGAGGGCAGUAAUACUGUCCCCACAACCCCAUAACACCCUGACUUGAGGUGGGACUGUACUUGGCCGUGCCUCCCAAUGACGUAGUUGCAUCACAGCAGAGUCAGAGACCCCUCUCUACUGAGACAGAAAUACGAGCAAAGCCUUCAUCUUCUCAGACAUUUAUGCAAUCCUCAUUAGAACCACUCUAGCAUAGCUAUUUAAUAAUAAUCAUCGUAAUAAACAGAGAAAUAAGGAUUAAAUUCCCCUGAGGGUCUUGCAAACCUUGGGAAAACACUGAAAUCUCUAAGUCUUAUUUGCUUUUAGAAACAUAUAGAAGUAAAAGGAAGAGGUUGCCUGGGUGUAAAAGUCCAAACAAGAAAGAAUCACACAGAUCCUAGGAGAAAGCCUCAUGAGCAAAAUAAAUAACGUGGGUUUUUUGGUGUGUGCUCCCGGAAGAAAUAACUCUCUAGACUCAUCUCCCCCUACUGGAAGCUGAUAAUGAAAGCAACAGGACUGCCUUCUGUCUUUCCUACCUUCUAAAAUGUUGAGCAAAAAUUCAGGUAAACAGUCAGACCAAGUGCAGCACGAAUGCACACGGCCACUUUUUGAUGCCAUUUACCAAUGCUCGGUAGGUGCAGAACUGCCAGUUCCGGCCUGAGGAGCCAGAAUUUUUCUAAUAUGCUAUAGUACAGGAAUGGAAUGGGCAGCAUGAGCCCAGUCCUAUCGGUACCACAUCACCCUCCUCCAUCUGCUUCUGAUGGAAAGGCAGCAGAAGCUAAAAGCAUGGACUUUGGACACAAGUAGGGAUGGGCCUUUCUGCAUUUGAAAUGUCUAAAGGCAAAGAAUUGCUCACGUAAGCCUUCAGAGUCUUUCAUGACACACGUGACUGCUGCAAGGGGACAGCAUAACUGCUCUGCCAGUCGAAUCCAAGCACCCAGGGACUUUUAUUUAGGGUAUCUACAGAGGGAGCCAAAAGAGUAGAAGAGGAGGAGGAGGGGAAGCAAGACUAAAAGAGAAGGGGAAAAGCCUGUGAAUGCAGCAGGUGCCUCUACAGGCAAACUGAGGACGCAGUGGACUUUGAAUGUUAAACACCUUUUUCCUCACACUUAAAGAGAGUUCCUCUAGGCUGCACUCGGACCAUUCUUCCAGCUGUACCUGCCAGAUACAGUGGCCUCCAUCUAUAGCAGGCCAAAGAGUGUCAUGGAAAGAGAGGAUGUUUCCAUGAGGAAAUUGGAAAGAAGAAAAUCUGAGGGCAGGAUGCUGUCUACCCGUCUUCAUCCUAUGGGAACUGGAACAUUAGUGUCACUUACUCAUAUCCCCAAGGCACUUAGAGAAGACAGGUUAUAUGGAAACAUUCUGCAAUAUGAGGAAAUGUAAGUGCAUGAUAGCUCAAAUACCAGUAAUAACACUUUCAGCAUGUGCUUUAUUUUAAGAAAAAACUGCCUUGUUAUGACUGUUUUGCAAAUCUAUAAAUCAGUCUGGCUUUUGAAUCUGAAACAGCAAGCUUAGGCCUGAGACACACAUCAGGGCAUGUACUGUAACCAGAAUAAGCUUCCUCUGAACUAAGGACCUCAUCAGACAGAAGGAUUUAGCGCAUCAAGAGCAGUCACAGAUAGGUCGUAACUGUGGAUGAUAACGUGCACGUGCACCACACCUCUAACUGUGGUCACUGAGCUGUAACAUAACCUCCUCCUGUAUCCGAGCAGUAGUGAUUUUCACCAAUUUGUAAUCUCUUUACUGUGUCAUCGAUCUGGCUUCACAAUUGAUCACUUCCAUGUGGACAAUUUAGAGGCCAAGAUCCAGGUUCUGAGUUGCCCUAAGUUGACACAUCACCCCCAACAGCUGAAAAGCUAUCCUGAUUUCCACCACCUAAAUGUGAGGUCUUGAUUUUGGAAGUUCCUUUCCUUCUGCACUGCCUGGGUUGAAAACUGUUGUAUCGUUGAAAAAGAAAAUCUUGUUCAACUGGCUAAAUGGAUUUGUACUCAUACUCAGAAAGAGUCACCUUUAAAGACGAAAUCCAAAGCUUAGACAGGAGAACAGCAGCCUUUUCUCAGCAGGAUAUGACUGAGUGGCAUUAAAGAAUUAACACCACAACUGGUUUGUGGCCUUAAUUACUGGUUGCUACCACGACAAGUGCUUUUAGAACUGCAAAGUCAUUGGUAACAGGUCCUUCCUACUUCUGAGGCAUGAGAAACUAGGAGAGCUUCCAUUUUUUGUUGGAAGAAGUUCAGUUAAACCCUACCUGCACACAGUCUGCAGAUCUGCUGGGCAGCAGCCUGCACUGCCCUCCCAAGGCACCCUCCUGUUCAUGGCUUAGGAAGCAGGGAGAGAGCUGAGUCCAGCUCUGGCAUUUCUCACAGGGAUGCAACAUAUGUUCUCUUUGCUUUUAUAUAUUCAGGAGGGAAAACAUUGCUUUACUCUUGUCAAGUAACACUUGAUGAGUCAAGUGGAGCCUGAAAUGCUUCACUUCCUGCAAAAAUGCCUGGAAGGGCAGCAGCUCUAUCCGUGUAGGCUCAGUGUCUUCCUGGAACAUCCCCCCCAUGCUAGUGAAGACCUACAGCCCCAACAGAAGUAACUAGGAUUGGCUUCACAAAAGGAUGCUAAAGUAGUUGAAAGUCCCACCUAACAUAUAAGCAGAAAGAUGACCCUGAGGUUGGGAGGUUCUAAGACUUGGGAGGCCUCCAGCCCCAGUUUGGUCUGUGACUUUGGGUAAAUCACUUAACGAGGAAUUCACAAAGGCUAAAAGGCUAAUCUCCCUUGUCUCCCUCUGCCCUGCGAGAGAUAAUCUUCUCUUGAGGACACUUUAGAGCAGACACCUAAUUUAACCAUUUAAAAAUGUCAUAUCUCUUGGGACACGUCAUAAUUUACAGCCUCAUAAUGGAGAUCCCAGUAAACCCCUAGUUUCUGGUGGUAUUCAAAGGAUGAAGCACCACAGACUGUAAGGAGAUCUGACAAUGCAAUAAAAAAGUCCCCGCAAGCUACAAUCUACAGAACACGCGGGGCAAGUGUGUGAUGCAUUUCUUAACAUGCUCAUUAACAGACCCCCAAAUGACUGUGUGGCCACUGCUUGUGAUCACAGCAGACAGGGAAUCCUGUACGACUAAGAAGUGGUAAAACCCAUUCUGCUGAGCCUUGCUCUAAAUUCAAUGACCUGCUCCAGCAUGGAGCUCUCUACGCAAUACUAAUGGAUGAGAAUAAUCAUUCUGACAGUGAUGAUUCGGAACAGAGCUCCCAAGUCUUUCUGAAAUGAUACAUGCUAUACAUUCAUCAUCACCAGAGAAUUAAUUUUAUUGUGAUGAAUAGAGUGCAGCAGGCUGUUGUGCCAUGCUUUUUCUUGUCCAUUACAGAAGCUCCCUCAUAGUUUUUAUGAAACUUAAACUGAGGCCUUCAGCGAGACAAGAAAGAUCCUCAAGAUUUGUGAUGCCAUCACGACAGCAGGUACUGUCAGAAAACCUCACAGACAACAAGCAAGGAGAUAAAUCUGAAUGCAGAAAUUUGGAGAAGGGUCCCUCUGAAAUUACAAUCUGCCUGAAAUUCAUGCUUCUGAAAACGCCUGACAUCAUUUCACUGCAUUCAGAUCUGAAAAGGAGGAAAACAUAUUCCUAAACUUGUCCAGAUUUUCUAGAUGAAAAGCCAGAACUGUCCCACAGACUCAGUACCGUUCUUACAAGCUGCAAAUCAGGGAUACCUCUGCAUCACUUCUUUUCUGCUCUUUUCUCCUGUCUCCUCAUCUUGGUAUUUUUAAAUGCCUCUCCUUUUUCUAAGUUGCAUCUGCGUCCUGUUUCUGUCAGGGACAGCCCUAUUUAUAGGUUUUAAAGCCCUGUCCAGCUGCCUGCCCCAAGCCAUGGAGACUCACCCACUUCUCUUGGCAAGAAGCCACAACCAUUGCCUGUGCCAAGGUGCCAGAGGACCCUGUUAAAGAGGCGCUCCCAGCUUUGGUUUACGCACCUCCAGUUGCAGAGAUCUAUCCUAGAUCAGUGGUUUUAUUAAUUAAUUCCCCCCAACCCAAGUCAAGAAUUUCUUGUGUUAUUUUAAGCACCAACCUAUUUCUUUACAGUCCAGCCACUGAGUCCAAUCACGUGUUUAUCUGCUUAGACUAAAUGGUCAUCUGUAGUCAGAAACCCUCUCCCCUAAGAAUAGCGUUGUACCCAUCUGAGUCUCACUUUGUACCAAUUUUGAUCCUAGUCAAAUACGCUGCCAUGCAUCCCCAGCACCCGGUGCCAGGCAGGGAAACAGGGCACUCUCAGCAGCCUCCGCAAGAACUGGCAGACACCAGAUUCCCAGUGCCAUGCUGGUGAUGAGGGUCAGACAGCACGCAGGUAGGGCUGGGAAUGAGAACUUAGGGUCCAAGCCCAAGGAUGGGGAAAGGAGACGUAGCAGAAGGGGGAAGAAGGACCCUCUCACUGAGAGCUGCAGGAAUAAGGUGGCUCUCCAGGGGAUGAGGGAUUUUGCUGGUGGCUUUUCCAACAGCUGGUCCUGUCAGACAGCUCCGCUCUGCUUCCGGCAUAGUCCUGCGAUCGGAUGUAGCAGCAGCACAGCUGCACUGCCCACAGGCGUCACUGCUUGAGGCAGCGGCAGUCUGUCUCAACCACCCUGAUUUAAACUCAUCCAAACUCAUCAAUUUGAAUAAACAAAAGUAACCCCAAGGUGGGCAUACUUGAAAACUGCUCAGGUGAAGCAGUACCUACCAGACAAGCCAAUACCCACAGAGGGUAUGGAGACAGGUCGAGUUCCUACAGCUGCCUCUGCCCCAUAAGGAGAGCGCUCACCCAUUCUCAUUCUGGAAGCCUUCAGAAAUGCUCCCGUGUCUCUGCUUUAAGGAGCUGUUUCAGGAUGUGUGGAUCCCCAUACUGCCAGCAAACACACCUUCUAACAAUAUAUUCCUCUGAAGAAACCUGUUAGAUCCAACAGCUUGCUGAGUGAACAAAAAGAACAAGAGCCCAAAGAGGAAUGGAAGCGUUGCUUCCUGUGCAACCCCUGAGGAUUUGUGCAUAAGCCCUGGCCUUCAGAGACACUUCAUUACCUUCCUAAUUUAUACAACACACAGGUAGUUUUUAAAUAAGACAGUGAGCCUGCCGGCUUCUUCCUGCAGGCAGAGAUCAGGGGAAGACAAAGAGCAGGCCGGACAGAGCACCCUGGCAGCUGCCCGGACAGAGGCUGUUGAUGUGCAAACAGCCCUACUGCAGAAGAAGCCUAAAGCCCCA